rnacentral:rRNA from 1 species
GACGAACGCUGGCGGCGUGCUUAACACAUGCAAGUCGAACGGUAAGGCCCUUCGGGGUACACGAGUGGCGAACGGGUGAGUGACACGUGGGUGAUCUGCCCUGCACUUCGGGAUAAGCCUGGGGAACUGGGUCUAAUACCGGAUAGGACUCCGGACUGCAUGGUCUGGGGUGGAAAGCUUUUGCGGUGUGGGAUGGGCCCGCGGCCUAUCAGCUUGUUGGUGGGGUGAUGGCCUACCAAGGCGACGACGGGUAGCCGGCCUGAGAGGGUGACCGGCCACACUGGGACUGAGAUACGGCCCAGACUCCUACGGGAGGCAGCAGUGGGGAAUAUUGCUCAAUGGGCGCAAGCCUGAUGCAGCGACGCCGCGUGAGGGAUGACGGCCUUCGGGUUGUAAACCUCUUUCAGCAUCGACGAAGCGAAAGUGACGGUAGGUGCAGAAGAAGGACCGGCCAACUACGUGCCAGCAGCCGCAGUAA